GCUUUUAGUUAUAACCUGUUUUUUUAGUAAAUUUGUUUUACUAUUUCCACUUAGAUCUGGUAAAGCAGAUAAGAUUUGCAGUAUUGUUGAAAGCCAAUUUUUACUUUUUGGUGUUCCACAAGUAAUUAUUUCAGAUAAUGGUAAGCAAUUUGAAUCAAAAUUGUUUAAAGAACUAGUCAAUAGUUAUGGCUCUCAAAUUUGGUAUACUCCUAAUUAUCAUCCACAGAGUAACCCUACAGAGCGAGUUAAUAGGGUUAUUGGCACAAUGAUAUCGAGUUUCAUUAAUACUAAGAAACAUAAUGAAUGGGAUUUGCAUUUGCAAAGUUUUGCUCAUGCUGUUAGGACUUCAGUUCAUGAAACCACAGGCUACACCCCAUCUUUCCUCUUCUUUGGCAGAGAAACAGCUAUUCCCCCCAAAGUUACAAGUAUGUCGCAUGACGCAGUUAAUAUGUUUGACAUUCCUUUAAGUUUUAAUGCAAAAGAAUUUCUUGUAGGUAAUAAGAAGCUUUUUAGCAUCUAUGAGAAGGUUGAACAGAAGAUGAAAGACGCACAUAAAAAAAGUACAUGUUAUUAUAAUUUAAAACGUAGGGAGGCUAAAUUUAAUGUAGGUGACACCGUUUGGAAAAGAAAUAAAUUUUUGUCUAACGCAGGAAAAAAAUUUAUGGCUAAAUUGGCACCAAAAUUUGAUAAGGCUAUAAUUGUUGAAAGAUUGUCUAGUAAUGUUUUUAGGUUAAAUAGCUGGUAUGGCAAACCGUUAGGGGUUUGGCAUGCGAAAGACUUGAAGCCAUACUGGAAUAGUGAGUAGCAGGUAAAGAAAUGAAAAAUUUUCUUUAUAUACCUUUUCAUUUCUUUUGUAUGUUGGGGGAAUGUAAUAGGAUGAGGGUAGAAACAAAAAGGACAGACACGGACGGUGAUUGCCGUAGAUUGAACGUGUUAAAGAUAUAAAUUGUGUCUUGUGUAAUAUCAAAUUUUGGAUUUUGAAUUUCGGUUAUAACUUGAGGGCUUUGGGAAAUGCCCUCAAAUUAGAUAUUCAUUUAUUGAAUAACAAAUUGUCUAUAAUGUUUAUGUGAUAAACGUUACCACAUUACACACAUUAGGUUUGGCAGGAUAAACCUAAAUCCUCCUGGCGCCCACAUUUAUGUAUUUUUAGUUAAUUUUAAUAUUUAGUCUAAGAUAUUUUAGUUCUUGUAUUUUGCUAGUUUAUAAAUAUCCUAAUAUAUG